GUGAACGAGCGACGCCGCGUGCGGGAUGAAGGCCUUCGGGUUGUAAACUCCUGUCGAGGGGGAGCAAGGCCGCGCGAAGAGCGCGGCUCGAGCGAUCCCUGGAGGAAGCACGGGCUAAGUUCGUGCCAGCAGCCGCGGUAAGACGAACCGUGCGAACGUUAUUCGGAAUCACUGGGCUUAAAGCGCGUGUAGGCGGGCCGGCACGUCGGGUGCUGAAAGCCCCCGGCUCAACCGGGGAAGCGGCCUCGAUACGACCGGCCUGGAGGGGGGUAGGGGGAGCCGGAACUUCCGGUGGAGCGGUGAAAUGCGUUGAGAUCGGAAGGAACGCCCGUGGCGAAAGCGGGCUCCUGGACCCCACCUGACGCUGAGACGCGAAAGCCAGGGGAGCGAACGGGAUUAGAUACCCCGGUAGUCCUGGCCGUAAACCAU
rnacentral:rRNA from 1 species